ensembl:lncRNA
CUGUUUUCCCAGCGGGAUCAAUUUGCAUGCAUGUGUGUCUGCUGCUCAUGAAAUGGAAUUGUAAUGUAUGACAGCACAGGAAUGUGGCCUCAACAGAGAAUAACUCUCAAUUUCUUUGUUUCAGGUGUUCUUUUUCCAGAGGUCAGUGGAAGUCCCGUUCUCUCAAGGCAGCAGCACACUGAGAAUCAUUGCUGUGCUUUUCAGAGCUACAGGAGCACUGUGCUGUGUCACUGCAUGCCCACAGGGAUCAGCUGUGCACACACACAGCUCUGAUCACCAGCAUGACAUGGAAGCUAAGGCUGGGUGGAUUAAGGAGCUGGCUUAUGGAUGGUGAAUGGAAGUCCCAUUAGCCAUCAGCAAGGUCCAGUCUGUGCAUGCGAAAUGUGGAGCUGCUGCAGAGAGAAUACAGCAAAUUUCCCCUCGGGAAAGGCAGCAUUUUGAGCCCCCUCUGUGCUGCCACCACUUUUAUUCUGUUGUAAAUUGCUUUUCACUCAGAACUGUUGGCUUGUGUUCAGUUCUGACAUCAAGAAGUUAAGAUCUGCAAUUGGAAAGAUGAACGCAAAGGAGCAGAAAAGGUCACCUCAGUGGCACGAGGCCUUGCUCAAAGCUUGCCACCUGGGGGGCAGGAGG